rnacentral:rRNA from 1 species
CCUACGGGGGGCAGCAGUGGGGAAUAUUGCACAAUGGGCGCAAGUCUGAACCAGCCAUGCCGCGUGCAGGAAGACGGCUCUAUGAGUUGUAAACUGCUUUUGUACGAGGGUAAACGCAGAUACGCGUAUCUGUCUGAAAGUAUCGUACGAAUAAGGAUCGGCUAACUCCGUGCCAGCAGCCGCGGUAAUACGGAGGAGUCAAGCGUUAUCCGGAUUUAUUGGGUUUAAAGGGUGCGUAGGCGGUCGGGUAAGUUAGAGGUGAAAGCCCGAGGCUCAACUUCGGAAUUGCAUCUGAUACUAUUCAGCUAGAGAGUAGUUGAGGUAAGCGGAAUGUAUGGUGUAGCGGUGAAAUGCGUAGAGAUCAUACAGAACACCGAUGGCGAAGGCAGCUUACCAAGCUACUUCUGACGUUGAGGCACGAAAGCGUGGGGAGCGAACAGGAUUAGAUACCCGGGUAGUC